AAAAAAGAAAACACAUUGUUGAGGAUUCGUCUUCUGAAGAACAAAUUGAAUCAUAUGAUGUAACUGAUGUAAGAACUGAAGAAAUAGAAGAAUUCUUCAGAGAAUCAAAA